GAGCACUUAGACCUAAAUUUAGUGAAACUUAACUUUGCUUGGUGUUAUCAGCACUCAACUUAUUGCAGGUUAUUAUCUAUAAAGGUUGUGGCUUAUUUCAAUAUUAUUAACACAGCUAAUUCUGAGUUUCUCUGCUGUUUCUGAGUUCCCAGCUUUCUGGAAAUCUUUGCACCUUUACUGUUCCCCACAGCUGUUGGAGCCACAGCUGGAGCUUCGUUCACAGCCACGCUCAGAGGCUCCUGUGCCACCAGAGCAGGGCAGGAUGGCUCUGCCAGGCUGUGCCCUCCUCCCUGGCUGCUGGCAGGAGCUCAGGAGCAGCAGGAAAGGACUCCAGACCUGCUCCAGACCUGCUGGAACUCUGCUGCUUCCACAACCAAAUCAGGCAAUUACCCCCAUGAAGGAGCUCAGAUGGGAUGAAAACAUCUGCUUCCUUCUGGAAUCCGUGCACAUCUGCCCUAAACAAAGUGAAAAUUCGGUGUGAGAACUCUUAAGGACUGGAUUGCUGAGGUUUUUCUGCAGUGCUACCUUCUCUGCAAUUAGAUAACAGCUUAAAAUCUGAUUACUGAGUUAUUUUUUACCUCUCAGAAUGCACAGGCACAAGCAAAGUCUCUGUUGAGAGCUGAUUUGAUGCCAGUUAAAUAUUCAGGUAGUCCUCUGAAGGCACUGCAAAUCAAAUACCCGAAACAUCUUGUGCAGAGUGAGAAUUUCCACAUUUCUAAAUGUGUAUUUUCCUGCCAUUCCCAGCGGAGGUUCUCACUGUUGCUUUUUCCAAGGCCCUUUCAAGCUGUUAGUGAGUUCAGAGUUUCACUGGGAUGUUUUCUCAGGUAGGGGAAUCCUCUUGAUGUGCUGGUUAUGCUGGUAAAGAGAAAGUACAACUCUGAGAGCAGUUUUGGACCUGAGAGAGGUGAUGUGACAGAGGCUCCCUCACAGCAAGAUCCUUUUUUACUUCCAGCAGACACAAACCUGGCAGCUGGAAGGAUUUGAAAUGUGGGGGAGCUGAGGAAUCUGAACACUCCCAAGGCUUUCUUGAGCUCCCAAGGA
rnacentral:lncRNA from 1 species